rnacentral:lncRNA from 1 species
CUUGGAAAAGCGCUCAGGGAAAAAAAUGCGCUCGCGGAUGUUUGAUUUUUGAUUUGAUUUGAUGUUUGAUUUAUGGCAGUAUUCUAUGCCCAUACUCCUUCCUCUUUCUGUGAGGAUCCAGACUGAUGUGAAAUGAAAUCCCACACUGAGGGAUUUGUGCUGAGUUUCCUAAAGUACAACCUGAUUUAUAUGACUUGAACCAAAUAAGAUGUAUUAAUGUAUGUAAGUACCACUUCAUAUAUACAAAUGAGUAUUCUUCUAUUUUUGAUUCUUCCUGCAGGUGUAGAACGAGUCCCUGUACCUACAGAUGCAUUCUACAUGGUAGAAUGUCCAGGUGGAUCAAACCCAAAUGAUCCCACAUAUUACACCAUCCCCGACCUUCAACCAAUGAAAAAGGCGACCGGUAAAGACUUUAUAGUCAUUUAUAACCAAAUAUUCUGUUGAUAUACUUCUGAAGACAAAACAGUUCAUAUUCAUCAAAUUAUCAUUUUUCCUCACAGAAACUUCUGGACCUGAUGAGUCCCUGUACUCUGAGAUCUGCGAGACUUUCAUCGGUGGAAAUAAUAAUAAAGGUAACUUUAAGCUUCAGCUCCCCUGUGAAGUUUAUAACAUGAGAUGCUAAACGAGGCCGAUUGUAUUUUUUGUUAUUCCAAAUAAAGCAAAAUAAAACGAGAGAACGAACAAAGUGGAAAUCUACAAAAACUACC